rnacentral:misc_RNA from 1 species
GUGCUAAAUUUCACAAUGUAUCCAAACAUAUAUAAUAAUAAUUCAAAUACAGUAAUAUUGUUCGCCUGAAUAUAUUGAGUUGACCUGGGAACAUUAUUCAAAUUUCAUCACCUGCAUAUUCAGGUCAUAUCAUCGAGAGGCUUGGGAUGCACUGGCCCUUCGUGAUUGAUACAACUAAUCUUCCUGAAGUUUUCAGCACUGCAUCACCCAGGAAUAAAUCCCUUAAGAAAUCCUCUGUUUUUGCGAGGCAGGGGAGCAACAUAUGUGGGGGGAGGUAUCACUGGAGAAGGACCACCCUGAUAAUAACAAUUCCCUUCUCCAUAAGAACUUUGAAGAACGCCAACCCACCACUCUUUUUGACAAACAAUGCAACUGGAACACCUAAAUCUCAUCAUAAUUCAAUAUUAACAACAAAAACGCGAAAGUAAGAAACACCCAUAAUUUUCAAAAAUAACCGCAACUCUAAAAAAAUCAUGCCUAAGCACAUGAUGAAACAACAUAACUCAAGCACAUAAAUCAGAAGAAGAGUACAUAUGAUGAAACAACAUAAUUCAGGCACAUAAAUCAGAGAGAAAAGUAAUUCUUAAUACUUAUCUAUAGAAAUAUAAACGAUCAACUUGGACAUCAAAUAUGAUCCCACAACACAAGACCUUUUUACAUACUCUUAAUCAAAAAUUUACCGUUCCUUGGGGAUGAAACAAAUAGUUUUUAGAGAGCAUGCAUAGCACUGUUUUUCCUACAACCUAAGCAAGAACAUAAGAAAAUUGAAAGGAAAUUCAUUAGGAAUCUUAUGUCCUCAUCUAUCCGGCACUUUGUACUUUGAUGGUUGAUAUUUUUACUGGCAGGAAGUAUGGCAUCUUCACCCAAAUUUUGUUACUUGUCCACAGACUAAAGGCUUUGCAAUUG